AGCCCGCUCGCCGGAAGACCAAGGGUUCCUGUCCAACGUUAAUCGGGGCAGGGUGAGUCGACCCCUAAGGCGAGGCCGAAAGGCGUAGUCGAUGGGAAACAGGUUAAUAUUCCUGUACUUGGUGUUACUGCGAAGGGGGGACGGAGAAGGCUAUGUUGGCCGGGCGACGGUUGUCCCGGUUUAAGCGUGUAGGCUGGUUUUCCAGGCAAAUCCGGAAAAUCAAGGCUGAGGCGUGAUGACGAGGCACUACGGUGCUGAAGCAACAAAUGCCCUGCUUCCAGGAAAAGCCUCUAAGCAUCAGGUAACAUCAAAUCGUACCCCAAACCGACACAGGUGGUCAGGUAGAGAAUACCAAGGCGCUUGAGAGAACUCGGGUGAAGGAACUAGGCAAAAUGGUGCCGUAACUUCGGGAGAAGGCACGCUGAUACGUAGGUGAAGUCCCUUGCGGAUGGAGCUGAAAUCAGUCGAAGAUACCAGCUGGCUGCAACUGUUUAUUAAAAACACAGCACUGUGCAAACACGAAAGUGGACGUAUACGGUGUGACGCCUGCCCGGUGCCGGAAGGUUAAUUGAUGGGGUUAGCGGUAACGCGAAGCUCUUGAUCGAAGCCCCGGUAAACGGCGGCCGUAACUAUAACGGUCCUAAGGUAGCGAAAUUCCUUGUCGGGUAAGUUCCGACCUGCACGAAUGGCGUAAUGAUGGCCAGGCUGUCUCCACCCGAGACUCAGUGAAAUUGAACUCGCUGUGAAGAUGCAGUGUACCCGCGGCAAGACGGAAAGACCCCGUGAACCUUUACUAUAGCUUGACACUGAACAUUGAGCCUUGAUGUGUAGGAUAGGUGGGAGGCUUUGAAGUGUGGACGCCAGUCUGCAUGGAGCCGACCUUGAAAUACCACCCUUUAAUGUUUGAUGUUCUAACGUUGGCCCCUAAUCGGGGUUGCGGACAGUGUCUGGUGGGUAGUUUGACUGGGGCGGUCUCCUCCUAAAGAGUAACGGAGGAGCACGAAGGUUGGCUAAUCCUGGUCGGACAUCAGGAGGUUAGUGCAAUGGCAUAAGCCAGCUUGACUGCGAGCGUGACGGCGCGAGCAGGUGCGAAAGCAGGUCAUAGUGAUCCGGUGGUUCUGAAUGGAAGGGCCAUCGCUCAACGGAUAAAAGGUACUCCGGGGAUAACAGGCUGAUACCGCCCAAGAGUUCAUAUCGACGGCGGUGUUUGGCACCUCGAUGUCGGCUCAUCACAUCCUGGGGCUGAAGUAGGUCCCAAGGGUAUGGCUGUUCGCCAUUUAAAGUGGUACGCGAGCUGGGUUUAGAACGUCGUGAGACAGUUCGGUCCCUAUCUGCCGUGGGCGCUGGAGAACUGAGGGGGGCUGCUCCUAGUACGAGAGGACCGGAGUGGACGCAUCACUGGUGUUCGGGUUGUCAUGCCAAUGGCACUGCCCGGUAGCUAAAUGCGGAAGAGAUAAGUGCUGAAAGCAUCUAAGCACGAAACUUGCCCCGAGAUGAGUUCUCCCUGACUCCUUGAGAGUCCUGAAGGAACGUUGAAGACGACGACGUUGAUAGGCCGGGUGUGUAAGCGCAGCGAUGCGUUGAGCUAACCGGUACUAAUGAACCGUGAGGCUUAACC
rnacentral:rRNA from 1 species